rnacentral:tRNA from 1 species
GCACCCAAGGUGAUGCGGUUCGUUGCACCUGGCUUAUAUCCAGCGAUUCUGGGUUCGACUCCUAGUGGGUGUA